rnacentral:rRNA from 1 species
UACGUAGGGUGCAAGCGUUAAUCGGAAUUACUGGGCGUAAAGCGUGCGCAGGCGGUUAUGCAAGACAGAGGUGAAAUCCCCGGGCUCAACCUGGGAACUGCGCUUGUGACUGCAAGACUCGAGUACGGCAGAGGGGGGUAGAAUUCCACGUGUAGCAGUGAAAUGCGUAGAGAUGUGGAGGAAUACCGAUGGCGAAGGCAGCCCCCUGGGUCGAUACUGACGCUCAUGCACGAAAGCGUGGGGAGCAAACAGG